rnacentral:rRNA from 1 species
GAGUUUGAUCGUGGCUCAGGACGAACGCUGGCGGCGUGCUUAACACAUGCAAGUCAAGGACUGUAGCAAUACAGGACUGGCGCACGGGUGCGGAACACGUAGGCAAUCUGCCCUUUAGGGGAGAACAACCCGUCGAAAGAACGGGCGUAAACUACCGUACUAUCACGAGGAGGCAUCUCUUUGUUGAUCAAGCUUUCUUAAAGGAAUGAGCCUGCGUCUGAUUAGCUAGUUGGUGAGGUAAUGGCUCACCAGGGCGUACGAUCAGUAGCUGGU